UGGUUUACCAGACCCGGAAGGCGCGGGCCUUAGUGGCGGACGGGUGAGUAACGCGUGGGGAACCUGCCCCGUACCGGGGGAUAACACCUGGAAACAGGUGCUAAUACCGCAUAACAGAAGGGGACGCAUGUUUCUUUCUUGAAAACUCCGGUGGUACGGGAUGGACCCGCGUCUGAUUAGCUGGUUGGCGGGGUAACGGCCCACCAAGGCGACGAUCAGUAGCCGGCCUGAGAGGGCGGACGGCCACAUUGGGACUGAGACACGGCCCAAACUCCUACGGAAGGCAGCAG
rnacentral:rRNA from 1 species